CCUACGGGAGGCAGCAGUGAGGAAUAUUGGUCAAUGGACGAGAGUCUGAACCAGCCAAGUAGCGUGAAGGAUGACUGCCCUAUGGGUUGUAAACUUCUUUUAUAAAGGAAUAAAACGAGGCACGUGUGCCUUUUUGCAUGUACUUUAUGAAUAAGGAUCGGCUAACUUCGUGCCCGCAGCCGCGGUAAUACGGAGGAUCCGAGCGUUAUCCGGAUUUAUUGGGUUUAAAGGGAGCGUAGAUGGGUUGUUAAGUCAGUUGUGAAAGUUUGCGGUUCAACCGUAAAAUUGCAAUUGAUACUGGCAGUCUUGAGUACAGUUGAGGUAAGCGGAAUUCGUGGUGUAGCGGUGAAAUGCUUAGAUAUCACGAAGAACCCCGAUUGCGAAGGCAGCUUACUAAACUGUGACUGACAUUGAUGCUCGAAAGUGUGGGUAUCAAACAGGAUUAGAUACCCUUGUAGUC
rnacentral:rRNA from 1 species